rnacentral:sRNA from 1 species
AUGGCUAAGAGCGGUUAACACAACGUCGCGAGCAGCUGUCCGCGCCCACCUGACAGCUGCUCGCGACGUUGUGUUAGCC